rnacentral:rRNA from 1 species
AUUGAACGCUGGCGGCAGGCCUAACACAUGCAAGUCGAGCGGAUGAGUGGAGCUUGCUCCAUGAUUCAGCGGCGGACGGGUGAGUAAUGCCUAGGAAUCUGCCUGGUAGUGGGGGACAACGUUUCGCAAGGAACGCUAAUACCGCAUACGUCCUACGGGAGAAAGUGGGGGAUCUUCGGACCUCACGCUAUCAUAUGAGCCUAGGUCGGCUUAGCUAGUUGGUGAGGUAAAGGCUCACCAAGGCGACGAUCCGUAACUGGUCUGAGAGGAUGAUCAGUCACACUGGAACUGAGACACGGUCCAGACUCCUACGGGAGGCAGCAGUGGGGAAUAUUGGACAAUGGGCGAAAGCCUGAUCCAGCCAUGCCGCGUGUGUGAAGAAGGUCUUCGGAUUGUAAAGCACUUUAAGUUGGGAGGAAGGGCAGUAAGUUAAUACCUUGCUGUUUUGACGUUACCAACAGAAUAAGCACCGGCUAACUUCGUGCCAGCCGCCGCCGUAAAAC